AGUGAACGCUGGCGGCAGGCCUAACACAUGCAAGUCGAGCGGCAGCGCGUCCGACCACCCUCGGGUGGUCGGAUGGCGGCGAGCGGCGGACGGGUGAGGAAUGCAUCGGAAUCUGCCUCGUUGUGGGGGAUAACGUAGGGAAACUUACGCUAAUACCGCAUACGACCUACGGGUGAAAGUGGGGGACCUUCGGGCCUCACGCGAUGAGAUGAGCCGAUGCCGGAUUAGCUAGUUGGCGGGGUAAAGGCCCACCAAGGCGACGAUCCGUAGCUGGUCUGAGAGGAUGAUCAGCCACACUGGAACUGAGACACGGUCCAGACUCCUACGGGAGGCAGCAGUGGGGAAUAUUGGACAAUGGGGGCAACCCUGAUCCAGCCAUGCCGCGUGUGUGA
rnacentral:rRNA from 1 species